rnacentral:rRNA from 1 species
UAUGGCUCAGGAUGAACGCUAGCGACAGGCCUACACAUGCAAGUCGAGGGGCAGCGCGGGAGAAGCUUGCUUUCCUGGCGGCGACCGGCGCACGGGUGCGUAACAGGUGUGCAAUCUGUCCAUAGUCGGGGGAUAGCCCAGCGAAAGCUGAAUUAAUACUCCAUGUGAAUCGAAGCCGCAUGACUUUGAUUUGAAACGCAAGGACUAUGGGUGAGCACGCUUCUGAUUAGAUAGUUGGUGGGGUAACGGCUCACCAAGUCGACGAUCAGUAGGGGUUCUGAGAGGAAGGUCCCCCCACAUUGGAACUGAGACACGGUCCAAACUCCUACGGGAGGCAGCAGUGAGGAAUAUUGGUCAAUGGGCGAGAGCCUGAACCAGCCAAGUCGCGUGAAGGAUGAAGGUUCUAUGGAUUGUAAACUUCUUUUGUCCGAGGGUAAAAAAGGCCACGUGUGGCUUCUUGCAAGUAUCGGACGAAUAAGCAUCGGCUAACUCCGUGCCAGCCGCCGC